CCUACGGUAGGCAGCAGUGGGGAAUAUUGCACAAUGGGGGAAACCCUGAUGCAGCGACGCCGCGUGAGUGAAGAAGUAUUUCGGUAUGUAAAGCUCUAUCAGCAGGGAAGAAAAUGACGGUACCUAACUAAGAAGCACCGGCUAAAUACGUGCCAGCAGCCGCGGUAAUACGUAGGGGGCACGCGUUAUCCGGAUGUACUGGGUGUAAAGUGAGCGUAAACGGCCAGACAAGUCAGAAGUGAAAGCCCAGGGCUCAACCCUGGGACGUCUUUUGAAACUUCCGGGCUGGAGUGCAAGAGAGGGAAGCGGAAUUCCUAGUGUAGCGGUGAAAUGCGUAGAUAGUAGGAGGAACACCAGUGGCGAAGGCGGCUUACUGGACUGUAACUGACGUUGAGGCUCGAAAGCGUGGGGAGCAAACAGGAUUAGAUACCCCUGGUAGUC
rnacentral:rRNA from 1 species